CCGGCGGUGCGCCUAAUACAUGCAAGUCGUACGCACUGGCCCAACUGAUUGAUGGUGCUUGCACCUGAUUGACGUUGGAUCACCAGUGAGUGGCGGACGGGUGAGUAACACGUAGGUAACCUGCCCCGGAGCGGGGGAUAACAUUUGGAAACAGAUGCUAAUACCGCAUAACAACAAAAGCCACAUGGCUUUUGUUUGAAAGAUGGCUUUGGCUAUCACUCUGGGAUGGACCUGCGGUGCAUUAGCUAGUUGGUAAGGUAACGGCUUACCAAGGCGAUGAUGCAUAGCCGAGUUGAGAGACUGAUCGGCCACAAUGGAACUGAGACACGGUCCAUACUCCUACGGGAGGCAGCAGUAGGGAAUCUUCCACAAUGGGCGCAAGCCUGAUGGAGCAACACCGCGUGAGUGAAGAAGGGUUUCGGCUCGUAAAGCUCUGUUGUUGGAGAAGAACGUGCGUGAGAGUAACUGUUCACGCAGUGACGGUAUCCAACCAGAAAGUCACGGCUAACUACGUGCCAGCAGCCGCGGUAAUACGUAGGUGGCAAGCGUUAUCCGGAUUUAUUGGGCGUAAAGCGAGCGCAGGCGGUUGCUUAGGUCUGAUGUGAAAGCCUUCGGCUUAACCGAAGAAGUGCAUCGGAAACCGGGCGACUUGAGUAUGGAGGGGUAAGCGGAACUCCAUGUGUAGCGGUGGAAUGCGUAGAUAUCAGGAGGAACACCGGUGGCGAAGGCGGCUUACUGGACCAUGACUGACGUUGAGGCUCGAAAGCGUGGGGAGCGAACAGGAUUAGAUACCCUGGUAGUCCACGCCGUAAACGAUGAUUACUAGGUGUCGGGUGUCGAAGGACGUCCGGUGCCGCAGCGAACGCAGUAAGUAAUCCACCUGGGGAGUACGUUCGCAAGAAUGAAACUCAAAGGAAUUGACGGGGACCCGCACAAGCGGUGGAGCAUGUGGUUUAAUUCGAAGCAACGCGAAGAACCUUACCCGGCCUUGACAUCCCCCUGACAGUAUCUGUAAUGGGUAUUACCUUCGGGACAGGGGAGACAGGUGGUGCAUGGUUGUCGUCAGCUCGUGUCGUGAGAUGUUGGGUUAAGUCCCGCAACGAGCGCAACCCUUGCCCCCAGUAGCCAGCAGGUAAGCUGGGCACUCUGGGGGGACAGCCGGGGAUAACCCGGAGGAAGGCGGGGAUGACGUCAAAUCAUCAUGCCCCUUAUGGCCGGGGCUACACACGUGCUACAAUGGCGUAAACAGAGGGAGGCGAGACAGCGAUGUUAAGCGAACCCCAAAAAUAACGUCCCAGUUCGGAUUGCAGCCUGCAACUCGGCUGCAUGAAGCUGGAAUCGCUAGUAAUCGAGGAUCAGAAUGCCGCGGUGAAUACGUUCCCGGGUC
rnacentral:rRNA from 1 species